GCUUUGUAAUUUAUUAAAAAUAUUUACCUUGAAAGUAAAAAAAGAAUUAAUCCUUUGCUUU
rnacentral:tRNA from 1 species